AUUGAACGCUGGCGGCAUGCCUUACACAUGCAAGUCGAACGGUAACGCGGGGCAACCUGGCGACGAGUGGCGAACGGGUGAGUAAUGCAUCGGAACGUGCCCAACAGUGGGGGAUAGCCCGGCGAAAGCCGGAUUAAUACCGCAUACGACCUUAGGGUGAAAGGGGGGGAUCGCAAGACCUCGCGCUGAUGGAGCGGCCGAUGUCAGAUUAGGUAGUUGGUGGGGUAAAGGCCUACCAAGCCGACGACCUGUAGCUGGUCUGAGAGGACGACCAGCCACACUGGGACUGAGACACGGCCCAGACUCCUACGGGAGGCAGCAGUGGGGAAUUUUGGACAAUGGGGGCAACCCUGAUCCAGCCAUGCCGCGUGCGGGAAGAAGGCCUUCGGGUUGUAAACCGCUUUUGUCGGGGAAGAAAUCUUCUGGGCUAAUACCUCGGGAGGAUGACGGUACCCGAAGAAUAAGCACCGGCUAACUACGUGCCAGCAGCCGCCGUAAAAC
rnacentral:rRNA from 1 species